rnacentral:rRNA from 1 species
AUGAACGCUGGCGGCGUGCUUAACGCAUGCAAGUCGAACGAUUAAAGCUCACUUCAGUGAGUAUAUAGAGUGGCGAACGGGUGAGUAACACGUGGGAAACCUGCCCCUUUCUUCGGGAUAACUCUGGGAAACCGUUGCUAAUACCGGAUACUCCGGGAUGGUCGCAUGGCCGACCCGGGAAAGCUUUAUGUGGAAAGGGAUGGUCCCGCGGCCCAUUAGCUUGUUGGUGGGGUAAUGGCCUACCAAGGCGAUGAUGGGUAGCCG